CGCCUAUCGAGCCCCUGGGCGCCGGAAGAGGACGGACCUAAGAUGGCGGCGCCGAUGGGUGACAGGAGGAGCUGCUGAUGUCGGGGAACGGAGCGGUGUGGGGGCGCGUGCGAGGUCGCCUCCGCGCCUUCCCCGAGAGCCUAGCGGCCUGUGGGGCAGAGGCCGCGGCCUACGGCAGGUGCGUGCGGGCGUCCACGGCCCCCGGCGGCCGCCUGGUGAAGGACCUCUGUGCGCAGGAGUUCGAGGCCCUGCGGAGCUGCUUCGCCGCCGCGGCAUCUUCUGAUUCCUGCUGGAUCGGAUGCUAAGCCCGUGGAAGGUGUGAAGAUCGCCAGCCUCGAAGGGAAGAGUUGUGUUUACGCGUUUUCACAAAGGGCCAAGAAGACCCUGAGGGGAAGCCUUUAGGAUGGAUGAGCCAGCAAUGCACUUCUGUUUACUGCCCCAGGGAGCAGAGCCAGACGCCUGGUGCUGACGGCCCCAAAGGGCAAGCGUCAAAAACGUCUGAAGCCUGUAGAACUGAAAGGACUGCGGGUGCAUCAGGGCGAGUUGCAGGCAGAGGGCGAGUUGGUUUUCCUACGUCGUGUGCCUGAGGAUUUGGGUUAGAGUGAGACACAAUGAAGCAACAAUAAAGACCGUGGCAGACCACACAA